AUCUUGAUCUUCAAUACAACCAAUUGACUGGUAAAUUUCCAGCUUCGCUCGGUAACUUGUCCAAAUUGUCUUACCUAAAUUUCCAAGUGAAUCACUUGUCCGGUCAAGUACCAUCAAUGCUUGGAACAAAUACAGUUUUGAAUAUUCUUGCUUUGGGAGACAACAAUUUAGAGGGGAAUCUAGAUUUCUUGUCAGCUCUUUCCAAGUGCAGACAACUCCAAUUCCUUGAUUUCGAAAAAAAUCGUUUUACAGGCACCAUCCCUGGCUAUGUGGGAAACUUCUCUUCACAUUUAAACUAUUUUGGUGCAGGUGCCAACCAGUUGAUGCCUUCCAGUAGCAAUUUCAAAUAUAAGCAACCUUCUAUGAAUUGAUUUUCGGGAUAACCUAUUCACCGAGCCAAAUCCAGAAUCUAUCACUACGCUGGAAAAUCUUGCAUGGCUUGAUCUCUCCUGGAAUAACAUGCCAGGCCCUAUCCCUACACAAAUGGGUAUGCUUCGAAGUCUAGAACGAUUGUUUCUCCAAGCCAACAAAUUAUCAGGCUCCAUACCAAGAAACUUUGGUAAUCUUAGCUGGUUAGAAAGCUUAGACUUGUCAUAUAACCAGUUAAGCUCAACGAUACCGACGAGUUUCUUCCACCUGGAUAAACUUAUCACACUUGAUCUUUCACACAAUUCCUUUACUGGUGAAGUACCGGUAGAUGUUACUGGUCUAAGACAAACCUAUCAAACUUUGGUAAUCUUAGCUGGUUAGAAAGCUUAGACUUGUCAUAUAACCAGUUAAGCUCAACGAUACCAACGAGUUUCUUCCACCUGGAUAAACUUAUCACACUUGAUCUUUCACACAAUUCCUUUACUGGUGAAGUACCGGUAGAUGUUACUGGUCUAAGACAAACCUAUCAAAUAGACAUAUCUUCUAACUUGUUGAUAGGAAGCAUACCAAAAACAUUUGGACAACUUAGUAUGCUUACCUACCUAAAUCUAUCACAUAACUCUUUCAAAGGCUCAAUUCCAGUUCAACUCGAAAAAGUA
rnacentral:lncRNA from 1 species